GGGCUCCUACGGGACGCAGCAGUGAGGAAUAUUGGUCAAUGGUCGGGAGACUGAACCAGCCAAGCCGCGUGAGGGAGGAAGGUACAGAGUAUCGUAAACCUCUUUUGUCAGGGAACAAAGACUGGGACGCGUCCCCGGAUGAGUGUACCUGAAGAAAAAGCAUCGGCUAACUCCGUGCCAGCAGCCGCGGUAAUACGGAGGAUGCGAGCGUUAUCCGGAUUUAUUGGGUUUAAAGGGUGCGCAGGCGGUCUGUUAAGUCAGCGGUCAAAGCCCGGGGCUCAACCCCGGCCCGCCGUUGAAACUGG
rnacentral:rRNA from 1 species